UGUUUAUUACAUAGCGGAACGAUAACAAAUCACAUAGUCUUAUACAAGAAGCUCCACACAGGGACAACAUUGACUAGUUGACUUCAAACCUAGUACUCAUAGCGAUAGUCCUCAUUCCAAUCAUCAUCAUUAGCAUAACCUGGGGUGUUAGGAAAUUGCAAGAGUGAGCACAUAUCGUACUCAACAAGUAUAAUUAGAGGUUCAUGAGGCUCAAAUAGCUGACACUGGUUUGACUGCAUUUAGCUUUUAAUAAUGGAUAGCAUGUUCAUAAUUAGAUAGCAAAUGUCAAGGUAGCAUAAAUAAUCCAAUAAUCACAUGAUCAAAUGUAAGCAUAAUUAACUCAUAGCAUAAACGAUAAUCAAAUGAACAUAGCAACUUAACAAGCUCAUCAUCUUUAGUGUAAGAACCCCCAAGACCGCUCUUAAUCGUGAGCACGGCUAGUAUACCAGUUUUUAACACUCUGCAGAGGUUGUACAUCUUUACCCACGAGUCAUGAUUUACCCUUUCGCCCGAGGUAGCUAGUCUCUUAACUCCCUUCCUAGGAAGGUCGGCACGGAUCACUAUGAAGCCUUUCAAAAGUUUGUCUAACAUGUUAGGGCCGCAAGGUUUCCCGGGCGCGUAGAUAUAGAUGCCCUCCUUCCAAAUGGCACAAUGACACACAGCCUAUACACAUAAGGACAGAGGCUCGCACUAUACCCAAAACGGUUAGGCCCCUCUAGCGCCCUUUCGGGUAACCUCUAACAAGCUAGAAAAGGUCUUCAUACUGAGCUAAAGCCAAAGCCAUUAUAGCCCUCAUGGUUGCACUGUUGUCCCGGUGAUCACCUACAGACAAGAUCUCAUAUAGUUAUUUGUCAUCCUUUUAUGUUCAUUGCAUAACUAUUAAUCAUCUUACAAGAUCAUGGAUUAUAUCAAGCACUAGCAUAUCUACACCAAAUGCAUAUCAAAUAGGUAACAAGGAAUCUAGGAUAACAAACAUCUAUGAUUUUGCUAAGGUCGACAAGGUGGAAGCAUGCAUAUGAUAUAUAUGUAUUUAUAAGUGAAUAGGUAACAAGGAUGAUCCCAAGUUAUACUUGCCUUGAUCAAAGCUCUCCUAAGCCUGCUGGUCUUCAAAGGCUUGGUCUUGAUCACCAACAUACGACUCACCGUCUAUUCCGAGACAUCAAUCAACAACACGCAAUCCAAUGUAGACAAUCAUACACAAAGCAAACAAACUAUAAUUAGAACAUUACACCAACAGUGAGAAAUCAAAGAUAAAAGUUUAUAAAAAAUAUUCUACGCAGCGCUAGGAUCACACAAACGUAAAGUUCACGAAAAUCAGAAUUAAAACGUAGAAGUUAUGAAUUUUCUAAGAUUUCCUAUAGAUAAAUAAUUAAUUAAAUGCUACUGGGAAAAUAAAAAGUUCCAAAACAGUGAAUAAAUACUUCUAACAUGUAGAGCUUGUAAAUAAGAAUCUAACGAAAUUUGAAUGGACAAAAACAGAGUUAAAACGAAUAUUUUAUAAGCAAAACAAAUUCAAUGGCAAUUCUGUAAAUAUCUGAAAGCGCUUUUUGACUCACUAGAAUACGCUUUUAAAUCUGGAAAGCGUAAAUCAAGGAUACGUCUUGGACUGUGGGUUUAAUACUGAAGAAAUCUAGGGGCUCUUAAGAAAAUAAAUACCCCCCCCAAAGGGGUAUCUUCUAAUCCUGGCCUUUGAUCUUGGAUCCGACGGUUCACAGUCCAUUAGGGGCGCUAGACGGCGGCCGGCCGGCCGGCUCUCUGCUCCGGCGCGGUGGUGCGCCAUGAGCGCCGCCGCUAAGCUCGCCGGCGCCUGUGUUCUCGCGAUUUCGUGCGCCAAAAACUGAACCACGAGCACCGGGUUGAAGAGGAGGGAGAGGCGAGCUCACCAAAGCAGUUUGCUCGGGCCGAGGACAAGCAGGGGGCUCGGUUUGCGGCGGGGAAGACGACGCACUUCGGCGAGAUUCCGAUCAGCCGGCAGCAGCAGCUAGGGCACUUCUUUCCCUUGCGGCGAAGAUGGAAAACACGCGCGGGGCAAGGCUAGGGGUUAUAUAGGGGUCGGUUCGCGCAAAAAGGCAAGAAAAUCGCGGCUCCCGGGAUUGGGUUCGGCCUGCUGUUGGUGACUGGCACGGACUCGAGGAAGGGGAGACGCGCUGACAAGCGGAGCCAGAGCGUCAGAGAGAGAGGGACGGGCCCGGCCGCCAGUCAGAGAAAGGAGAAGGCGCGCUGCUGGCAGGGUUGGGCCGCGAAGCAGUUGGGCCGCGGGGGUUGGCUGGGCCUCGGCCUGUCUCCAGGGGCUCCUCCCCUUUUUUUCUUUUCUUUUAUUUUCCUUUUUCAAAUCUUUUUCAAAAAGGGUUUUUGAGCAAAGUAUAAAUAAAAUAAAAUCAAACAAACAACACAAAAACACUAUGCUCCAACAUGAAUGCAUAAUCAAGUUCUUAAUCCUAUAUUAAAUUUUAUUUUUCUCAAAAUUAUUUAUUCACUAAAUUAAAUGCCCAUAAAAAUACUUAAUUAAAUCAAAUUAAUUCCUAUUAAUUGAAAUUAAAUUUUUAGGUGUUACAGAUUUAUCAUAAAAUAUGUUUAUACUUACUCCUAUUUAGUGUCAUAAAUAUCGGUACUUUUCUUUAUAAAUUUAGUUAAAUUUAAGAUAUCUUGACUUAAAACAAAGCUGACACUGUGGCUAAACUUGAUAGAUAUUGAUGACCAUAUCUCACACGCGAGUCAAUAUUCAGAAACACCUUUCCGGUUCUUGCAAAUAUAGUACAGUAGCAUAUAAAAGAACUAGAUCCAUUUAUGCCGUUGUUUCUGUCCAAGUAGAUGGGAACACGUAGAGAGUUGUUGGCUGUUAAGCAGCAGUGCGUUAACUGUCUACAGAAGACAUGGCCGAAUGGGCCACUAACGACCAGGCGCGUGUUUAAACGCCAAGUGGGACACGCUUGUGCUGGUCUGCCCUCUCGUGCUCCCGGUGCGGUGGAUCCUUUCGGUGGUCGCAGUUCAAGUGACCCCACUCUUCCACUCCCUCUGUUUUCUUUUUUAAUACAAGGAUCUGCAUAUGGAUCCACUAUGCUGACAUAGUGACAUAUACCAUUAUUAAAGUGAACCCUAGAUGUUUAGUGCAGUAUAGCAAUUCCACUGGCCAUCACACAUGAUAUAUGGAUUUAAAUUCAAUCAAUCCAUUUCAUCAUUCUGUCUUCUUAACUGAACCUUUUUCCGCAUACAUCAGCUGAAAUGCCGGAUUCCAACCUUUUAUUGAAGACAUGUUUAAAUUCAUGAUUACUUUCUCUAUUCUAAAUUAUAAGAUAUUUUUAUUUUAGCUUUUUUAGACACAUGAUUUUUGCUAUGUUUAUAUGUCUAAGGUACAUAAUAGAACUAACAUAUCAAUAAAAAUCAAAACGUCUUAUAACUUAGAACGAAAGAAGUAUUAUAUUAUAUUGAUGUAAGCCAUAAAAAAAAUCAGUAAUUAGGAUUGCCAAAAAGUUCAUAGUACACCACCGACUCUCUUUCUCUCUCUUCCAAAACAACACACACUCCUUCCAAAAAAAAGAAUAAAGAGAGGAAUGAAGAUGAAGCAUUAUUGAGAAGAGAGUUACUCCAAUGAUGUGGAUAUGGCCCCUGCUCACCACCACAACACCCAGCCGGGCAGCAUCGUGAAGUCGGCUUCAUCCUCCAAGCUUGGAGGCGGGAUACACCGAAUCAGG
rnacentral:lncRNA from 1 species